CCUUUGUACAAGAUGUUCUGUU
rnacentral:miRNA from 12 species